UUCUGACUGUUGUGUGCAAGGGGAGCUGGCAUGUAUUCCAUGGAAAAGCCUAGCAGUGAUUUUGUCCUGUGGGGCAUUCUAGGCCUGUUGCUUAGAGAGUUUCCUGCAGUCUGUGUAGCGCUUAACAUUAAUGUGUAUGAGUUAUUGGUGUUUUUGUGCAAGAUUAGAUUUAUCAUUCUAUUGUUGCAGUUAUUUUACUUUUCCUACUUGUGGGCCUCUCCCCUGCCUUUAACUUUGUGCCUGCUCUCAAGGCAAUUGUUAUUUCAGGCUUGUUAUUUGUAUCUGCCAACUCCCACAUGGCUCCUAGAGCCUAACCCCGAGUGGGGUAAUGCGGCACUUUCUAUUGCCUUGCCAUUGAAUUAUGCCCUGCCUCUCCCAGAAUGACAUGUACGAUAGUCCUUUCUCCUUUUUUCUGUUUUGUCUAGAGGAUUAUAUUUGCAAUGAUCUCUUACACCUGGAACUAAAAAUUCAAGACCAGGCAUGUCAACUGUAGUAUCACAUAUCCACUCUGAAAUGGGCAGAGAAGGAAAUUAUUAUGUCAUCAUCAGCAGAUUAUAUCUUCAUGUUAAGAUUUGUACGAUCUGUGGAACACAGGCGGACAUAAUUUUUACAGACAUUUGUUUAAGCACUUUUUCAGAACACCACAUCUGAGAAAGGAGUGCGUCCUGCUGAAUCCACACAGCGCUGGAGGCAUGGUGGGAAGUGGUUCCAGCUGGAAGGAGGAAAGGGAAGAUUUUCAAAAUAAAGAUCAAAGGCAUCCUCUGAAGAUUUGAAGGAACCUGCAGAGGUGAUUCAUUCCAGAUGCUUAUCUUAGGAUGAGAUGAAUCACUUUCUGAUGCCUCACCAUAGAUACUAAGGGGAGCCUAGCCCAACCGUAUUAAACUACAUCACU